rnacentral:rRNA from 1 species
GCGAACGCUGGCGGCAGGCCUAACACAUGCAAGUCGAACGAACUCUUCGGAGUUAGUGGCGGACGGGUGAGUAACACGUGGGAACGUGCCUUUUGGUUCGGAAUAACUCAGGGAAACUUGUGCUAAUACCGAAUGUGCCCUUCGGGGGAAAGAUUUAUCGCCAUUAGAGCGGCCCGCGUCUGAUUAGCUAGUUGGUGAGGUAACGGCUCACCAAGGCGACGAUCGGUAGCUGGUCUGAGAGGAUGACCAGCCACACUGGGACUGAGACACGGCCCAGACUCCUACGGGAGGCAGCAGUGGGGAAUCUUGCGCAAUGGGCGAAAGCCUGACGCAGCCAUGCCGCGUGAAUGAUGAAGGUCUUAGGAUUGUAAAAUUCUUUCACCGGGGACGAUAAUGACGGUACCCGGAGAAGAAGCCCCGGCUAACUUCGUG